CGUGGAGAGACACUGAGAGACCUGGAGGCAAACCUGAGGGCAGGGCCCCACAGUCCCAGACACCCGACUGAUGGUCAGGGAUGCCCACCAGCACCGGCAGGCAGGCCCCCGAGCGUGGGCACACGCACCAGCCCUGGCACAGGAAGUCCUUCCCAGCGGGUGCUGAGUGACAGCCGCUUCAGUGGGGGCCUGGAGGUGCUGGCAGAGUGGACACCUGGCCUGAGCAACCUGCGACUCAGCUGCAACCCCAUCAAGGACACUGGAGCCCUGAAGCCCCUUGAGAAGCUGAAGGGCCUUCAGAACUUGGAGCUGUUCAACUUCGAGGAGUCACAGCAGCUGCGCUAACGGGAGCAGGAUUUUGAGUCAUUACCUGAACUUGGCUACCUGGAUGGCUUCGAUGCUGGGGACCCUGCUCAACUCUGAGACUGAGGCCAACAUGCUGGGGGAUGAAGAUUCUGAGGAGGACUAGG